rnacentral:tRNA from 1 species
GGGUCCAUAGCUCAGCCUGGUCAGAGCGGCUGGCUCUUAACCAGUAGGUCGGGGGUCCGAAUCCCCCUGGACCCG